rnacentral:rRNA from 1 species
GACGAACGCUGGCGGCGUGCUUAACACAUGCAAGUCGAACGGAAAGGCCCUGCUUUUGUGGGGUGCUCGAGUGGCGAACGGGUGAGUAACACGUGAGUAACCUGCCCUUGACUUUGGGAUAACUUCAGGAAACUGGGGCUAAUACCGGAUAGGAGCUCCUGCUGCCUGGUGGGGGUUGGAAAGUUUCGGCGGUUGGGGAUGGACUCGCGGUUUAUCAGCUUGUUGGUGGGGUAGUGGCUUACCAAGGCUUUGACGGGUAGCCGGCCUGAGAGGGUGACCGGCCACAUUGGGACUGAGAUGCGGCCCAGACUCCUACGGGAGGCAGCAGUGGGGAAUAUUGCACAAUGGGCGGAAGCCUGAUGCAGCAACGCCGCGUGCGGGAUGACGGCCUUCGGGUUGUAAACCGCUUUCGCCUGUGACGAAGCGUGAGUGACGGUAAUGGGUAAAGAAGCACCGGCUAACUACGUG